GAAUGAGUAUAUUAUUAAAGUUUAAGGGUUUAUUUAAAAUUUAAUAAAAAUUAUUUAUUUUUUAUUAUUAAAAAAGAACAAAAAUUUUUAAUUAUAGUUUAUUAGUAUUGUAAAAGAAUUAUAAAGAUUAAUAAAAAGAAAAAUUAAAUUUUUGUACCUUGUGUAUCAGGGUUGACUAAUAAAUUUUAAUAGAUUUUAAUUUCUCGAAUUUAAAAGGGCUAAAUAAUAAAUAUUUUUAUUGUAGAAUAAAUAUAUUAAAUUAUUAUUUAGUAAUGAAACGUUAUUCGUUUUUAAUUAUAUCUAGUUUUUUAAGAAAAAAGUUUAAUUUUUUUGUAUUUAAAUUAAUAAAUUUAUUUUUUAAUUUAUUGAUUGUUACAUAUUAUAUUAUUAGGGAUAAGCUUAAUAAUAUAAAAUUAAAAAUGUAUUUUAUAUUUAUGAAUAAAUUAUAGGAUUAGAAUUUUCUUUUUUGUAGUAUGUUAUAUUUAAUUAUUUAUAUUAUAUAAUUUUUUUAGGUUUUAAAUUUUUUAUUAAAAUAUUUAUUUUAAUUUUAUUAAUAAAUUAAUAAUGGUUGAAUUAGUAGAUUUGCUUAUACAAAUAAAUAUAAGAGGUAAGGUUAAUUAAAGGAAUUCGGCAAAUAGUUUUUCACCUGUUUAUUAAAAACAUGUCUUUUUGAUUAUUAUUAAAAGUCUAACCUGCCCACUGAAGUAUUUAAGGGCCGCAGUAAUUUGACUGUGCAAAGGUAGCGUAAUCAUUAGUUUUUUAAUUGAAAGCUAGAAUGAAUGGUUGGAUGAGAAAAAAACUGUCUCUAAUUAAUUUUUUAUUGAAUUUUAUUUUUAAGUUAAAAAGCUUAAAUUUUAUUUAAAGACGAGAAGACCCUAUAGAGUUUAAUAAAAUUUUUAUUAUACAUUUUGGAAGUUUACAUGUAUUACUAAAUAAUUUUUUUUUAUUGGGGUGAUAAAAAAAUUUAUAAAACUUUUUUUAAUUUAAACCAAUUAUUUUUGAUUAUUUGAUCCAAUAAUUUUGAUUAAAAGAUAAAAUUACCUUAGGGAUAACAGCGUAAUUUUUUUUAGAGUUCUUAUCGAAAAAAAAGAUUGCGACCUCGAUGUUGGAUUAAAAUUUAUUUUUGGUGUAGAAGCUAAAAUAUUAGGUCUGUUCGACCUUUAAAAUUUUACAUGAUCUGAGUUUAAACCGGUUUAAGCCAGGUUGGUUUCUAUCUUAAGUUAGUUAAUAUAUUUUAGUACGAAAGGACCGAUUAUAAAAGAAAUUAUUUAUGGAUGAGACAAAAAGU
rnacentral:rRNA from 1 species